rnacentral:lncRNA from 1 species
GUGCUUUCCCAAAUUGGCUCUGUAGAGAAUUUGACCAGUUCAGCUCCUCAAAGUCACAGUGAAAAAAAAUAACCAAACAAGGAUAUUCAUUGUUCUUACCACAAAAUCAUUAUUGCAAAAUGAGGUUUGUGAGCAUGGGGAGAAGGGAGCCUCCAUAUACUACUCUCUACCAAAAUGAGAUUUGAUCCUGAAGCACCUCACCGACCCAAGACCACUAUACAAGAUGAAAAGAACGCGGUGUUGCAGUGACCAACAGGAGAGAAGUAUGCACAUCUUGGCUACACCAAAGUGAGACAGAACUUUUUGGCUACACCAAAGU